GGGGUGCUGGAUGAGGGCGUCAGUAUCGGCAGCGAGGGACUGCUGAGAAAUUAUAUGAGUGUCGGCGUGCAGUUCGAUUAUCUGCGUCGCCCCCC
rnacentral:tRNA from 1 species